rnacentral:lncRNA from 1 species
AAAGCCACCCACCAAAUAUGACUACCCAAAGAGAACUCUAGACCCAGCCAAGUGCCAUUAUUGAUCGACGGAUCGUGACUCGACGACGACGACCCACUAAUGAAGUGCUAAUAAAGUGGGCGAACCUACCAAAAGAAGAUGCCACAUGGGAGAACUAUGACGACUUGAAGAUCAAAUUCCCAGAAUUCAUGAAUCAUCAGCCUCGAGGACAAGGUUGAUUUGAAGAGGGCGGGUCUGUUAGGACUCUAGCUUGGAGAGUCCUAAUUGAGAGGGACAUUCAUGUAAAAAUGUUAGGACUCUAGCUAGGAGAGUCCUAAUUGAGAGGGACAUUCUGUUAGGACUCUAGCUAGGAGAGUCCUAAUUGUGAGGGGCAUUCAUGUAGGAGGUUUUUUCUUAGAGAAGAAUUAGGAGUUGUAAGGGAAUAGGAGUCUUGAGUAGGAGUCCUAUUAUGAGUUGGUUAGAAGUAAGAGUCUUAAGUAGGAGUCCUAUUAGGAGUUAGG